GCCGGCGUGGCGCAAUGGUAGCGCGUAGCUUUCCUGUGCUUGAGCAAGUAGGAUAGGCUGAAGUUGUGGGUUCGAUCCCCACCGUCGGUU